rnacentral:rRNA from 1 species
GACGAACGCUGGCGGCGUGCUUAACACAUGCAAGUCGAACGGAAAGGCCCUGCUUUUGUGGGGUGCUCGAGUGGCGAACGGGUGAGUAACACGUGAGUAACCUGCCCUUGACUUUGGGAUAACUUCAGGAAACUGGGGCUAAUACCGGAUAGGAGCUCCUGCUGCAUGGUGGGGGUUGGAAAGUUUCGGCGGUUGGGGACGGACUCGCGGCUUAUCAGCUUGUUGGUGGGGUAGUGGCUUACCAAGGCUUUGACGGGUAGCCGGCCUGAGAGGGUGACCGGCCACAUUGGGACUGAGUUACGGCCCAGACUCCUACGGGAGGCAGCAGUGGGGAAUAUUGCACAAUGGGCGGAAGCCUGAUGCAGCAACGCCGCGUGCGGGAUGACGGCCUUCGGGUUGUAAACCGCUUUCGCCUGUGACGAAGCGUGAGUGACGGUAAUGGGUAAAGAAGCACCGGCUAACUACGU